rnacentral:rRNA from 1 species
AGCAGCCGCGGUAAUUCCAGCUCCAAUAGCGUAUAUUAAAGUUGUUGCAGUUAAAAAGCUCGUAGUUGAAUUUCGGGACCAAUCUGCCGGUCGUGCCUCCGGUACGCACUGGUUUUAUUGGUUUCUCCCUUCUGACGAACCAUGAUGUCAUUAAUUUGGUGUCAUGGGGAAUCAGGACUGUUACUUUGAAAAAAUUAGAGUGUUUAAAGCAGGCUCGCGCUUGAAUACAUUAGCAUGGAAUAAUGAAAUAGGACGUUUGAUUCUAUUUUGUUGGUUUCUAGGAUCGACGUAAUGAUUAAUAGGGAUAGUUGGGGGCAUUAGUAUUCAAUUGUCAGAGGUGAAAUUCUUGGAUUUAUUGAAGACUAACUACUGCGAAAGCAUUUGCCAAGGAUGUUUUCAUUAAUCAAGAACGAAAGUUAGGGGAUCGAAGACGAUCAGAUACCGUCGUAGUCUUAACCAUAAACUAUAGCCGACUAGGGAUCGGAUGAUGUAAUUUUUAAUGACUCAUUCGGCGCCUUAA